UGGGGAAUAUUGCACAAUGGGCGCAAGCCUGAUGCAGCAACGCCGCGUGAACGAUGAAGGUCUUCGGAUCGUAAAGUUCUGUUGCAGGGGAAGAUAAUGACGGUACCCUGUGAGGAAGCCCCGGCUAACUACGUGCCAGCAGCCGCGGUAAUACGUAGGGGGCUAGCGUUAUCCGGAUUUACUGGGCGUAAAGGGUGCGUAGGUGGUCUUUCAAGUCGGUGGUUAAAGGCUACGGCUCAACCGUAGUUAGCCUCCGAAACUGGAAGACUUGAGUGCAGGAGAGGAAAGUGGAAUUCCCAGUGUAGCGGUGAAAUGCGUAGUUAUUGGGAGGAACACCAGUAGCGAAGGCGGCUUUCUGGACUGCAACUGACACUGAGGCACGAAAGCGUGGGUAGCAAACAGG
rnacentral:rRNA from 1 species